GCCAGGUGCGGCACAUGCUUGCAGUCCCAGCUCCUCAGGAGGCUGAGGCUGAAGGAUCGCUUGAGCCUGGGAGUUCUGGGCUGUAGUGCACUAUGCCGAUCGCUAUGCCAACUAAGUUCGGCAUCAAUAUGGUGACCUCCUGGGAGCAGGGGACCCCAGUUUGCCUAAGGAGGGGUGAACCAGCCCAGGUCGGAAAUGGAGCAGGUCAAAACUCCUGUGCUGAUCAGUAGUGGGAUCGCACCUGUGAAUAGCCACUGCACUCCAGCCUGGGCACAUAGUGAGACCUGGUCUCU
rnacentral:SRP_RNA from 1 species